ACAUUCGGAAACGAAUGCUAAUACCGGAUACGCGAUAUGCUCGCAUGGGGAAAUCGGGAAAGACGGAGCAAUCUGUCACUGUUGGAUGGACCUGCGGCGCAUUAGCUAGUUGGUGAGGUAACGGCUCACCAAGGCGACGAUGCGUAGCCGACCUGAGAGGGUGAUCGGCCUGAGACACGGCCCAGACUCCUACGGGAGGCAGCAGUAGGGAAUCUUCCGCAAUGGGCGAAAGCCUGACGGAGCAACGCCGCGUGAGUGAUGAAGGUUUUCGGAUCGUAAAGCUCUAGCCCCGGCUUACUACGUGCCAGCAGCCGCGGUAAUACGUAGGGGGCAAGCGUUGUCCGGAAUUAUUGGGCGUAAAGCGCGCGCAGGCGGUUCAUUAAGUCUGGUGUUUAAGGCUGGGGCUCAACCCUGGUUCGCACUGGAAACUGGUGGACUUGAGUGCAGCCACGUGUAGCGGUGAAAUGCGUAGAGAUGUGGAGGAAUUCUGGGCUGUAACUGACGCUGAGGCGCGAAAGCGUGGGGAGCAAACAGGAUUAGAUACCCUGGUAGUCCCACGCCGUAAACGAUGAAUGCUAGGUGUUAGGGGUUUCGAUACCCUUGGUGCCGAAGUUAACACAUUAAGCAUUCCGCCUGGGGAGUACGGUCGCAAGACUGAAACUCAA
rnacentral:rRNA from 1 species